rnacentral:rRNA from 1 species
AUUGAACGCUGGCGGCAGGCCUAACACAUGCAAGUCGAGCGAGCGGCGGACGGGUGAGUAAUGUCUGGGAAACUGCCUGAUUGAGGGGGAUAACUACUGGAAACGGUAGCUAAUACCGCAUACCAUCAGAUGUGCCCCGAUGGGAUUAGCUGGUAGGGGGGGUAACGGCGCACCUUGGCGACGAUCCCUGGCUGGUCUGAGAGGAUGACGAGAAACACUGGAACGGGGCCACGGUCCAGACGCCUACGGGAGGAAGCAGGGGGGAAGAUUGCACAAUGGGCGCAAGCCUGAUGCAGCCAGGCGGCGUGUGGGAAGAAGGCCUUCGGGUGGUAAAGCAUUUUCAGCGGGGAGGCGGUACCCGCAGAAGAAGCAACGGCUAACUCCGUGCCAGCAGCCGCGGUAAUUC